rnacentral:piRNA from 1 species
UNGAGUAGGAACAUACUAAUCCAGGGAGAGC